GGAAAAUGUGUCUGGUUAUCAAGUUGACAAGACAUGGAUUCUGAUGGUUAAUUGAUUAAUUGUCAGGUUGAGUGAGAACACCCAGCUGAAUAGAGUCAGCAUGAUUCCAGGUGUGAAGGACCCUCUUUAAGGAGGAUUGUUGUUGAGCUGGUAUAAAAAGGACAAAGUGAGGGAAAGAUUUCAGCUGAUCUUCCUUGGCGGCUCCUUGCCUGAGUCCUGCAAGCUGUUGUAAGCACUGACUAAUAUAUUAUCUAAUGUUUUGCAAGAAUUCAGAAGAAACCUAGUGAGGUCUUCUGACUCAGGGUGUCCUACAAGACUGUCAUCAUGGUGUUUGUGAGUUUAUGGUCUCACCUGAAAGAUCUAGUGAGGGGGAAACCCUUUCAAGUGAUUGUUGGCAGAAUUCAGUUCUUCAUGUGCUUCCGGACCCAGAGGCUCACUUCCUUCUCAUGUAGGCUUAUCAACGGAGCAGUUCACAACAUGAUAUUUGCCUUCUAUCAGAAGCACAUGGGAAUGCAAAAGAGAAUAACACAAGGUGGCCAUAGCACUGAUACUUCGAAGUUGUCAAAGGUGCUGUAAGCCUGGAUCACUAAAUAGCCUUAUGAUACCUCCACUCCCUCCCCUUUAACCUCUAAGCUGAACUACCUUGAAGCUGAGCAAAAGCAAAGUUUUAAGAUGUUAAGCUCUAAUAGUUUUCUAUAUAUUUUGGUGUAUAUCUUGGAGUUUAUGCAUGUAUUUGGUAUACUUGUAUAUUUCCACAUCUUUACCUACCUUAAAUAAUACAACAUUAGUGUAUUCUAUACUAAUUAUGGACCAUCAAUGAUCACAAUUUCUUUCUUUCUUUCUUUCUUUC
rnacentral:lncRNA from 1 species